UACGUAGGGGGCGAGCGUUGUCCGGAUUCAUUGGGCGUAAAGAGCUCGUAGGCGGUUCGGCAAGUCGGGUGUGAAAACUCCAGGCUCAACCUGGAGACGCCACCCGAUACUGCUGUGACUCGAGUCCGGUAGGGGACCACGGGAAUACCUGGUGUAGCGGUGAAAUGCGCAGAUAUCAGGUGGAACACCGGUGGCGAAGGCGGUGGUCUGGGCCGGAACUGACGCUGAGGAGCGAAAGCGUGGGGAGCGAACAGG
rnacentral:rRNA from 1 species